UGGGCUAGAAUGUUGGGAGACCGUGGGUGAAAGCUCACUUUGUAGCAAUACACUGCCAAUAAGGUGCUGCAUGGCUGUCGUCAGCUCGUGCCGUGAGGUGUUGGGUUAAGUCCCGCAACGAGCGCAACCCUUGUCAUUAGUUGCUACAUUCAGUUGGGCGCUCUAAUGAGACUGCCGGUGACAAACCGGAGGAAGGUGGGGAUGACGUUGAACGGUUGGUU
rnacentral:misc_RNA from 1 species